rnacentral:rRNA from 1 species
GUGGGGAAUUUUGGACAAUGGGCGAAAGCCUGAUCCAGCCAUGCCGCGUGCAGGAUGAAGGCCUUCGGGUUGUAAACUGCUUUUGUACGGAACGAAAAGACUCCUUCUAAUAAAGGGGGUCCAUGACGGUACCGUAAGAAUAAGCACCGGCUAACUACGUGCCAGCAGCCGCGGUAAUACGUAGGGUGCAAGCGUUAAUCGGAAUUACUGGGCGUAAAGCGUGCGCAGGCGGUUUUAUAAGACAGAUGUGAAAUCCCCGGGCUCAACCUGGGAACUGCAUUUGUGACUGUAUAGCUAGAGUACGGUAGAGGGGGAUGGAAUUCCGCGUGUAGCAGUGAAAUGCGUAGAUAUGCGGAGGAACACCGAUGGCGAAGGCAAUCACCUGGACCUGUACUGACGCUCAUGCACGAAAGCGUGGGGAGCAAACAGGAUUAGAAACCCGGGUAGUCC